rnacentral:lncRNA from 1 species
CAGCUGGGGGUCGCCCCGCCCUCUGGGCUUCUCUCCGGGCCUCUGCCGGGAGCUCUGAAUGCUCAGCGUGGCCCCUCUGCUACCGGCAGACAGAGAGUUUUGUCUGCUGCCUGGCGGAGCUCCGGCGCUUCCCCUCCGGGUCGCCGGACCCGCCUUUGAAAGUUCCCCCGCCCCGGUCCUCUCCGAGAUCUCCGGCAAUCCCUAGUCCCACGGGGCGGGCAACGGCAGCUGGGGGACGCCCCGCCCUCUGGGCUUCUGUCCGAGCCUCUGCCGGGAGCCCUGAAUGCUGGGCGUGGCCCCUCUGCUACCGGCAGACAGAGAGUUUUGUCUGCUGCCUGGCGGAGCUCCGGCGCUUCCCCUCCGGGUCGCCGGACCCGCCUUUGAAAGUUCCCCCGCCCCGGACCUCUCCGAGAUCUCCGGCAAUCCCUAGUCCCACGGGGCGGGCAACGGCAGCUGGGGGACGCCCCGCCCUCUGGGCUUCUGUCCGAGCCUCUGCCGGGAGCCCUGAAUGCUGGGCGUGGCCCCUCUGCUAAUGGCAGACAGAGAGUUUUGUCUGCUGCCCGGGCGGAGCUCCGGCGCUUCUCCACCGGAUCGCCGGACCCGCCUUUGAAAGUUCCCCCGCCCCGGUCCUCUCCGAGAUCUCCGGCAAUCCCUAGUCCCACGGGGCGGGCAACAGCAGCUGGGGGUCGCCCCGCCCUCUGGGCUUCUCUCCGGGCCUCUGCCGGGAGCCCUGAGUGCUCAGCGUGGCCCCUCUGCUACCGGCAGACAGAGAGUUUUGUCUGCUGCCUGGGGGAGCUCCGGCACUUCCCCUCCGGGUCGCCGAUCCGGCCUUUGAAAGUUCCCCCGCCCCGGUCCUCUCCGAGAUCUCCGGCAAUCCCUAGUCCCACGGGGCGGGCAACGGCAGCUGGGGGUCGCCCGCCCUCUGGGCUUCUGUCCGGGCCUCUGCCGGGAGCCCUGAGUGCUCAGCGUGGCCCCUCUGCUACCGGCAGACAGAGAGUUUUGUCUGCUGCCUGGGGGAGCUCCGGCACUUCCCCUCCGGGUCGCCGAUCCGGCCUUUGAAAGUUCCCCCGCCCCGGUCCUCUCCGAGAUCUCCGGCAAUCCCUAGUCCCACGGGGCGGGCAACGGCAGCUGGGAGACCUCCGUGCCCUCCGUGUCUCUCUCUGGGACCCUCCGGGCGCCCCGAGCACCAGGCCGGGUCUCCCCGCCAAUGGCGGGGAGAGACUCUCCCCGCGGGCUCAGAUGUGUGUGGAUCCUCUGGGGGCGUCCGUUGGAAGAAAGCCGCUUGCGGGUACUAGGCUGCCCGUCGGGGUCGGAGAGUUUUCACCUAUUUCCACAUCCUCCCGGAGGAAAGUCCGUCCGCCUUCCGAUGUAUAGUCGCGUGGGUGUCUCAGACGUCCUGAGAUGCUGUCUGGAUAUCCUUUGUCAAGCGAUAAGUGUCCAAAU